rnacentral:sRNA from 1 species
UUUGCGCAAGGGAUAGCAGCGAAAAGCUCCCGUUUUUCACGGGACUUGUAGCGUAUAGCCCGGCCCGAA